rnacentral:rRNA from 1 species
AGAGCAUCCUACGGGAGGCAGCAGUGGGAAUAUUGCACAAUGGGCGCAAGCCUGAUGCAGCCAUGCCGCGUGUAUGAAGAAGGCCUUCGGGUUGUAAAGUACUUUCAGCAGUGAGGAAGGUGGGUAUGUUAAUAGCAUACUCAUUUGACGUUAGCUGCAGAAGAAGCACCGGCUAACUCCGUGCCAGCAGCCGCGGUAAUACGGAGGGUGCGAGCGUUAAUCGGAAUUACUGGGCGUAAAGCGCAUGCAGGUGGUUUGUUAAGUCAGAUGUGAAAGCCCGGGGCUCAACCUCGGAAUUGCAUUUGAAACUGGCAAACUAGAGUACUGUAGAGGGGGUAGAAUUUCAGGUGUAGCGGUGAAAUGCGUAGAGAUCUGAAGGAAUACCGGUGGCGAAGGCGGCCCCCUGGACAGAUACUGACACUCAGAUGCGAAAGCGUGGGGAGCAAACAGGAUUAGAUCCCCUGGUAG